AUAAUUAACCAGGAACAAAGGAUGAUAACAGUAAAAAGAAAAGGAAAAAGAAAUGAUUUAAUUACAAAAGUCAGAUCAAAGCUGCAAACACAGUGGGAAAAAACUAUUUGUCAUAUUAUCUUUACAUUUCCAAAGUCAGAACAACAGAUUAUUAUUAAAAUAACUGUGCAACAAACCUUUUCUUCAAAAGCCCAGGAUGACAGAUUUGAUAUAUCUGAUUUGUGGCUAGUAUGCAGCUGUAACUCUGCCACUGUCAAGUGAUAAGAAGCAUCAGGGUGAAUAGAAGAUAAGCUUUAAAUUGUGAUUUCUUUAUGUACAAAACACAGCUGGUACAUUUAACCAUUUACUACCCGAAGUAGUAGACACAGAACCAUGUGGACAUACAGAUUAGUACCAGGGCUGAGUUCAAGUCAUUUUAAUGCAGGUGAAGUAACAUUAUUGUCAACAUAUUCAGGGUAGGAGGAGGCAGACGUUGGCUUCUUUAGGUGUCCUGUGGUAAAGAAAACAAUGAAGAAACCAGAGGGUGAGGAAAGCAGGACAAAGGGAUUGCACCACAUGUCAGUCUGACAGGCAUUCUGAUAGGGAGGGAAACAAUCAGAGUGGGAAACCUGAUAGAUUGCACGCAAGCAGGGGGAGGAAUUGUCAAAAACUGGCAAAAUUGAGAGUAAAUUGACCAAAAGAUGUUGGCAAACGAGAGGAUGAGCAGCAGGGUGCAGUUGACUGUGGGGGAAAUGAGCUCCACUGCGCCCAGCAAGUACAGACGGACACAAUUCUGUCUUCUGCAGAAUUGUAAUAUAUUCCUCCCUCAACCACAUUCUAUUUGCUCAUUAGGAUAUUAUAAUGCACUGCAGAAGAUGUUAAAGUGACUCUGCUGUCAACUGAGGAAGUUCUUAAAAUGAUCCUUAAUGCCGACUGGCCCUCAGCCCUGAUCACACUCACCUGUGUCUAUUAGCCUCACCUGGUGCCCUGGGUAUCCAGCCAUGGUCCUUCCUGUUCCUUCUUGGUCCUGGUGGUUGUUCGUGCAUCUCUUGUUGUCAGCCUUCUGCUCUGCUUGUUCCAAGUUUGUGAUGAUCUGGAGUCAGCAGUAGGAAGACGGUUCAGAGGGCCACAUAGCCUGACAAAGACCAUUUACACUCUCGUCUGGGACAACAUGCCAACUCCAUAUGGCAAACGAACAUUGAACCAGCACACUGGUGACCUUUUUGCUGUAAGCAGAACAGAAGAGCCUCUCUGGAGGACAAUGAGUUUGAAGAAAAGAAGAAAUCCGCUGGAGUGAUUUCACCUAAUUCCCAUCCAGUCGACGGAUGCACAGUUCAUAUAAAGCAUGGCCUCACACAGACAAAAAAGCAUGCUGCUUUCUGCCCUUUGGACAGAGGUGGACAUGAUUUCCAACCCUCACCUGGUGAGAGGAGCAACAGAAAACUUCUCAUUACUGAAGAGGGCGAAUGUGACCCCGAGCCACACUCCUCAUUCUCUUUUUAUUCCCACCGCUGCCUCUGAAUAUAUCAGGGAGGAGGGGAGAUGUUAGAUGCUGCAGGGGUCUCACAAACAGGAUGUGAUCAGCAAGUCAGAAAGCUCCAGUUGUUUCUACACAGUCAGGUGGAGCGUUGGUACACCAACCGAACGUCCUCAGGUCAGAAGCAGCUCGCACAUGUGAGAAAACUCCUGCAGUCAGACACACAGGUCAGUGUUCCCUGCAUUUGUGAGUCACAAUGAGGAAUGGAAUAUAAAAAUAAUGUGAAUGUAAAUAAACAAUAGCUUCAAAAACUUCUCCAAAUGCAUCUCAUAGUAGCUCCGUAAAGAUCAUACAGAUUAUCCAUAGGUAUCUUUAGCAAAAUUUAACACAGAUGUUUGAACUCUUCAUUGUGAUAUUAGUAAAAUAUUUGUAUUUACAAUAUUUAUAAAUGUAGCUGAGCUUUGACCCUGACCCUCUUAGCAGUCACCGUUAGCUAAGCUGUCUUUUAUGACAUGACACAGUUCUCCUUCAGUUCAGUUCUAAAUCUAUUUAUCUAUAAACCAUCUGCUGGAUACCCUGAGCAAAUGAUCACACAAAAGAACAACCCUGCAGAGUGAAAGUAAAAACACAGUAACCUUUAUCCAGGCCAACAGCAGAAGGGCUUCACCUAAACCUUUCAAUUCAUAACCACCUGGGGACCUCACAUGUUCUCGACUGUGGCACAACAGGAGAAAAGUCAAAGCGUCUGUAAAUUUAUCAAGAAUCUUCCUUUGGAGAGUCUGAAUCGGAGAGAAAGUGUUGGACAAGCAGGCAACGAGUCUUAUCCACUUUCAGGGCUCCAGCCAUCUGGGUGAAACUUUUGGAGAGAGUCCUCCUCUUGCUUCUGUAAUUCUCACAUGAAAGUGUGUUCUACUUCUAGUCAGAAAGUACUUUGUACUUUGUAACACGGCAGGUGAACAAGGCACAGACAUGAGUGUUGAGUGUUUUUUCUAUGUGGUGAGUCAGACUCUCCUGUGGACUUUCAUCAUCAAGAGCUGCACAUUUAAGUGCAAAUGCAUUGUAUUUGCCGACAUGUAUUCCCCCAGUGAUUUUAUUCAUGGAAAAUCGAUUCCUCUGAGGGUUUGUGAUGGCUGUUGUUAGUGCUCACUUUCUGAGUUAUUCAUAGGCACACAGGAGAGCACAGUGUUCUAAUCAAAAAAAAGAAAAAAGAAGAAAAAAAAAUAGAAAAAAAACAGUUUGCAGUCACCUUCUAACUCACAUGGACGUCUAAUGCCAGGCCGACUCUCUGCUCCUCUCUGUCACUCCACACUCUGCCUCAUCUUCUCUCGUGGUAAUGGCUGAAGCCGAAGGCACCAAUCAGUAAGUGACCUCAACAAUUAAUGUGAAUAGUCUAACCUUUCAUUUAAGCUUCUGUGAGAAAUCACUGUGACUUCAUAACCCAGGCCAUCAAUAAACACUGAACUCAGAGGCCAUUUCUGCAAAGGUUAAUCAGUGUAGACCUCCUGUCUCAAUUCUCUGCAGUUUCAAUAAUGAUCCUGUCUGACACCACGUUUUCUCCUGCGUUGAACAUGUUACUGCUUCUCCAUCUGUGUUUUCAUUCAACUUUAUAUCAACAUUCAUAUAUAAUACCCCCCCCUACAAGCUCAUUGAUUUUGCCA